GGUUGAAAAAUCGGUUCCCAUACCACCACCGGAGUUAAGCAACCUCAAGUCUUGUCAGUACCAAGAUGGGUGACUGUUUGGGAAUACCAGGUGCUGUAGG